rnacentral:lncRNA from 1 species
ACCGAAUUCUUACAUCCAUACUAUAAACUUUAAGCCCUAAACGCUAAAUCUAAAGAAUAAACAUAAAUCCUAAUCCAAACUCUUAACUCUAAAUCCCGAGGAUAAACACUAAACUCUAAUAUUAAACCCUAAACCCAAAUGAUAAAUAUUAAACCCAAUGGUAAAAUAUAAACCCAAACUCGUAGGAUAAACACUAAAAACUAAAUCUCAAACCUAAAAGGUAACCUUAAGUCAAAUGAUAAAUCCUUUGGAGUAGGGUUUACCUUUGGGUUUAGGGUUUAAUAUUUAUCAUUUAGAAUUAAUGUUUAUCAUAUGGGUUGGGGUUUAUCCUUUGGGUUUAUGGUUUAUCUUUUGGAUUUAGGGUUUAUCCUUUGGGUUUAUGGUCUAUUCUUUGGGUUUAGGGUUUAUCCUUCGGAUAUAUGAAAAAACCAGAAGAAGACUUAUGAUAACUUGUUGCAUUAUGAUUUAACCGCCAUUUACAACUAAUAUUAAAAUUAGUUGUUCUUAUAAAGUUUUAUCCAGUUAACAAACAUUUCAAUUGCAUGUUGGAGAGCUAAUAUUAUGUUUAACCGAAUUCUAACCUCCACUCUAUAAACUUUAAGCCCUAAUCGCUAAAUCCAAAGAAUAAAGUUCAAUUAUAAACUCAGACUCUUAACU